rnacentral:rRNA from 1 species
CCUACGGGAGGCAGCAGUAAGGAAUAUUGGUCAAUGGACGAAAGUCUGAACCAGCCAUGCCGCGUGAAGGAUUAAGGCCCUCUGGGUUGUAAACUUCUUUUAUCUGGGACGAAAAAAGGGUAUUCUUACUCACUUGACGGUACCAGAGGAAUAAGCACCGGCUAACUCCGUGCCAGCAGCCGCGGUAAUACGGAGGGUGCAAGCGUUAUCCGGAUUUACUGGGUUUAAAGGGUGCGUAGGUGGGUCUGUAAGUCAGUGGUGAAAUCUCCGAGCUUAACUCGGAAACUGCCAUUGAUACUAUAGGUCUUGAAUUAUCUGGAGGUAAGCGGAAUAUGUCAUGUAGCGGUGAAAUGCUUAGAUAUGACAUAGAACACCAAUUGCGAAGGCAGCUUACUACGGAUAUAUUGACACUGAGGCACGAAAGCGUGGGGAUCAAACAGGAUUAGAUACCCUGGUAGUCCACGCCCUAAACGAUGGAUACUCGACAUCAGCGAUACACUGUUGGUGUCUGAGCGAAAGCAUUAAGUAUCCACCUGGAAGUACGAUCGCAAGAUUGAAACUCAAAGAUAGUACGACGNGNGAGAGACGACGACGACGACGACGGAGGAGGAGG